CUCAAAACCCCUCUUCCCUAUACUACUAAUGUUUUUGUUUGCGAGUUGUUAAAAAAAUCGUCGUUAUACAUCGCCACCUACAGUGAUUGCUAGCAGAACAGAACAGAACAAAACUAAACAGAGUAGAACAGAGCAGAACCGAGCAGAACCGAGCAGAACCGAGCAGAACCGAGCAAAACCGAGCAGAACUGAGCAGAACCGAGCAGAACAGAGCAGAGCAGAACAAAGCAGAACAGUGCAGAACAGAAUAGAAUAGAAUAGAAUAGAAUAGAAUAGAAUAGAAAGAAUAGAAUAGAAUAGAAUAGAAUAGAAAAGUUUCAAUUAAAG